rnacentral:rRNA from 1 species
CAUGCAAGUCGAACGGUGAAGGGGAGCUUGCUUCUUGGAUCAGUGGCGAACGGGUGAGUAACACGUGAGCAAUCUGCCCUUGACUCUGGGAUAACUGCGGGAAACUGUAGCUAAUACCGGAUAUUACCUUGGAAGGCAUCUUCUGGGGUGGAAAGAAUUUUGGUCAAGGAUGAGCUCGCGGCCUAUCAGCUAGUUGGUGAGGUAAUGGCUCACCAAGGCGACGACGGGUAGCCGGCCUGAGAGGGUGACCGGCCACACUGGGACUGAGACACGGCCCAAACUCCUACGGGAGGCAGCAGUGGGGAAUAUUGCACAAUGGGCGCAAGCCUGAUGCAGCAACGCCGCGUGAGGGACGACGGCCUUCGGGUUGUAAACCUCUUUUAGUAGGGAAGAAGCGACUGGGUUUUCCUGGGAGUGACGGUACCUGCAAAAAAAGCACCGGCUAACUACGUGCCAGCAGCCGCGGUAAUACGUAGGGUGCAAGCGUUGUCCGGAAUUAUUGGGCGUAAAGAGCUCGUAGGCGGUUUGUCGCGUCUGCUGUGAAAACCCGAGGCUCAACCUCGGGCCUGCAGUGGGUACGGGCAGACUAGAGUGCGGUAGGGGAGAUUGGAAUUCCUGGUGUAGCGGUGGAAUGCGCAGAUAUCAGGAGGAACACCAAUG